GUGUCAGCAGCCGCGGUAAAACGUAGGUCCCGAGCGUUAUCCGGAUUUACUGGGCGUAAAGCGUGUUCAGGCGGUCUAGCAAGUCGGGCAUGAAAUCUCUCGGCUCAACCGGGAGGGGUUGUCCGAUACUGCUGGGCUUGAGGGCAGCAGAGGGUGGUGGAAUUCCGGGUGUAGUGGUGAAAUGCGUAGAUAUCCGGAGGAACACCAGUGGCGAAGGCGGCCACCUGGGCUGUACCUGACGCUCCAACACGAAAGCUAGGGGAGCGAACGGGAUUAGAUACCCCCGUAGUCC
rnacentral:rRNA from 1 species